CACAAAUGUUGCAUUCUCAGAUAUUAAUAUGAACUCGAAGGUGCAAAAUAAACAUUGCAUCUUUUCUACUAUUGAAUAUAGAAGUUCCCCAAAUUGCUGUUCGUUGGAAAUCGACAAAAUACAUGAAAUUGCCACAUAGCUAUUGCUUUGGAUUGUUCAAGCUUUUUCAGUGGAGUCCACUUAUUUAUUAAAAUCAAAGUAAAAUCUUUGCAGCCUCUUUUAAAAAAAGGAAUAAAGGAACGGUAUGUAUAAAUGGGAUAAUCUUAUUUUAAGAACAGUAGUUUACUUUGGAUGACUUAUUUUAACCUCUUUCACACUCCAGACAACACCAUCAGAUUUAGCCAUACACAGAGCAUCUGGAGAAAAGGGUUAAAAAUAAAAUGACAAGUGAGCUUUUAAAAUUAAUGUAAAAGUGUCAGCCAACAUUUGCCAAUGUAAUAUCAGAGUUUUUGCAAUUAUAAAUAGUAAGCAAGAAAGGUCAACUUGCAUGGGUCAACAAAUAAAAGAAAAUAUUCUUAUAGUGGAAAAUAAAAAAGCACAAAGAAAACUUUUUAUUUUGCAGAUCAUUUCUGCACUGCCUGAAACUAGUGGUUUUCAUCCUAGACUUUGGACAUAUCAAUUCUGACCAAAUUAUUUGACAUAUUCAGAGAAAACAAAUGUGAAACUCUUUUUGAGAUUCCUUGGGCAAAUAUAAUGAAAUAAAUGACUAUAGCAGUUCUCUAGAGUGGUCAACAA
rnacentral:lncRNA from 1 species